rnacentral:rRNA from 1 species
GACGAACGCUGGCGGCGUGCCUAAUACAUGCAAGUUGAGCGCUGAAGGUUGGUACUUGUCCCAACUGGAUGAGCAGCGAACGGGUGAGUAACGCGCGGGGAAUCUGCCUUUGAGCGGGGGACAACAUUUGGAAACGAAUGCUAAUACCGCAUAAAAACUUUAAACACAAGUUUUAAGUUUGAAAGAUGCAAUUGCAUCACUCAAAGAUGAUCCCGCGUUGUAUUAGCUAGUUGGUGAGGUAAAGGCUCACCAAGGCGAUGAUACGUAGCCGACCUGAGAGGGUGAUCGGCCACAUUGGGACUGAGACACGGCCCAAACUCCUACGGGAGGCAGCAGUAGGGAAUCUUCGGCAAUGGACGAAAGUCUGACCGAGCAACGCCGCGUGAGUGAAGAAGGUUUUCGGAUCGUAAAACUCUGUUGGUAGAGAAGAACGUUGGUGAGAGUGGAAAGCUCAUCAAGUGACGGUAACUACCCAGAAAGGGACGGCUAACUACGUG